UUCCAUUGCUUUCUUUAAUUCUUUUAAUUUCUUUAAUCAGGUCUGAGGUCCUAUUGUACUGGAACUGCUGCAUGAAAACAAGUUUGCCUGAGUGUUUCUACCAGACCCUGGAGGCUUGAGCACAGGCAAACACAGGCAAGUUCAGCCUUUGUUCAUCACAGUAUUGUCUUCUUGAGACCAGAAUGCCCAACGAAGGAGCAUCUAGGAGUCCCAUCAGUUAUGUUAUAGCUUGGGUUGACUUUGGGCUCAAUAACACCUACAGGACCUUCUGAGAUGUUCCCUAAAUCCUAGCCAGAUAUAAACCCUUCCAAAACAAGGGUAACAGAGCAACCUGAUGUUUCCAGAGUGUGAUUUUUGCCUCAAAGCCUUGGGAUGGUGAGUGGCUCCUGGUGUGCAUCAAUCAGCCUUCAGUGAAGAGGGACCUAAAAAGCUGAUUACUUGGUCCGUAACAUGCUAUCCUCAGAACGAAACCCAAACUUUUCAGUGGAGGGUUUAUGUUGCUCAUAUGCCUUGUCUUCAAUUAUGUGAGUCAUGCAAGCAUUUCCCCCUGAACACUUUCCAGCUCCCCCCACCCCAUAUCUCACCCCUCCAUGUCCUCCUCCUCGUUUACUCAGCUCCAUUCUCUUCUGUGUUUCUUGCGCUGCCUACAGUGAUUGCAUUUAAUGUGAAUGCUAUGGGGGAGGGAAUAUGGAAGACAAGAAGGUAAAGAAAGGACUUCUGUGGAAUCUGCGUGAACUGAAACAUGACAAAGUCUGAAGUUAUAAGUGAUAGGUGGAAUGGAAGAGAGGAGCAAGUUGAAGUCCAGGUCCUGAGUGGCAAGAGACACCGUCAGCAUGGAGCUCUGAUGCUUAAAACAUGGGAGAAAUGUAGGAUGCUGGUACCACAGAAGUUGUGUGCUACAAACUUUGAGCUACACCUCCUGGCUAGGAAUGGAUCUGCCUCCAGCCGCAUGCUCCCCAAGCACUUUCAUACUCAACACAUUGCCCAGAUACACAGAGAGCCUGGACAAGGGAAGUCCUCCAGGAUGAAACACGGGGAGCUACUGCUGAUGAGCCUGCAGGACCUUAGAGCUCCUUGUGUGUCUGCUUUCUGCGCCUUGGCUGCAUAG
rnacentral:lncRNA from 1 species